rnacentral:misc_RNA from 1 species
AGAGGAAGUAAAAGUCGUAACAAGGUUUCCGUAGGUGAACCUGCGGAAGGAUCAUUAGUGAAUUAAUAUCCAUUCACGACGUCCACGGUGAAUGGUGAAGGAUGAUGACCUAAGCCGCUUGCGGAAGAGGCAUAAAACUAUAUUACGUAUGUAGUGAAAGAAUAAGUAUCACGCGGUAACUUUUUGCAUAAAGUUAGGCGUGUGUCGGUGACAACUAGGUUGUCAGCUUGACAGUUUUUAAAAGUGUAUGCUAUUGAGCAGAAAAGUUUGCAAGACUCAAUAUGGAGGAUCACUUAGUCCUUAGAGCGAUGAAAACCGUAGUAAUUUGUGGAAAUUGGUGUGAGUUGUGAAAUUUUGUGAGCAUUGUGUUUUUGAAUGAAAAUUUCAGUACAGAUGCGAAUGUAUCUAUGCUGCAUUUGUUUCAGUAUAAAAAAGUACUAAUGCGUAGUUACUAUUGCUGCAACGCAAUAGUAGAAGUUACGUUUAAUCACAAGAGUGGUGUCAACAGAAUGAGUUAACGUGUAUCUGAAAUCAAGUGUGAUUACCCCCUGAAUUUAAGCAUAU